CCGAUCUAUUUUAGAAGGGGAAGAUCGCCUAAGCGCUUAUACUUUUUAAUUUUUGUACUUUUUUUUUUGGUGUCGUGAGGUUUAGGUUGUUUUUCUUUCUAGCUGCUAAGUAAAAUAUAUAUUUUUUAAUGUUAAUAAACACAUGUAAACAUUUACUUGACUUAAUGUGUGUGGUUAUCUGAAACCCAUGUGUCUAUGUGCAGAGAAAAUAGUGUCCCUGACUUACUGAAAGUGAAACAUAGCAUUUAGAUACUAUCCGGUAUCUUGCUAUUUGCAAAUUCAGUUGUGAAAAUUCAAAAAUUAUCUUUCGUAGUUUGCUGGGUGAAAAAAAUCGUUUUGAUAAAGAGAACUGGUUCCUUCUGUACCACAAAUAGUUUGAGUAUAAAUAUUAUAAAUAGUUUAAAUAUAUAUAUAUAUAUAUAUAUAUAUAUAUAUAUAUAUAUAUAUAUCAUUUACUUAUCUCACUAUGCUAAUUUGCCCACCAUUUAGUGAAGACCUGUGUUUCUAAUGGUAUUGUGUUCCUAUCCAUAUUUCUAUGGGUCCACCUUUCCCUGGUGAGUAAAGGGCAAGAAAGAAAAAACACACCCCUUUUUUUAUUUAACUUAAUUCUAGUACAGAGGCUUCUUCGCCACUUGUUUCUGCUCCUCUUCUUGCCAAGCCACGCCGAUGAGGGACCUAAUGCACAUGCAUGGCAAAAGAACAUUAAAGCUCCCCUCUAGGAAAUUAUUGCAUUAGUGCUUUCAUAUGGGGAAUUUGAAGACAUUGGAUGUCAUUAUACUGAGUUAUCUUCAGUUGCAAGCAGGAACCACUUCUAGUUGUUGUGUGGAAGACUUAACCCUACUGUGGCAGGUUUAAAAGACCACUAUAGUGCCAUGAAAACAAACUCAUUUUCCUGGCACUAUAGCGUCAUUAGGCAACCUCCACCCCCCACCCUCAGGGCCCCACUCCCGCUGGGCUGAA